GCGCCCCUAAGAAAGGAGUGGACCCCGCCCCUGGGAAGAACAGUAGCACCUCCUAAGAAGACAGAAACGCGUGUGUUCUCAUCCUAUCACCAUGGAACCUGUGCAGCUUCCCAGGAGACUUGGAGACCUGUUAUGCUGAGAUAAUAACUUCGCAGUGCUCUUCUAAGAGCUUUGCAGAGCGGAGCAGUGUAACCAUCAGACACCAGGAGGCUUCCUGGCCUUCUCAGUACAUCACGCAAUGGCAGCUUUUUGAAGAUCAGUAACAUGAAGUCUGUCCUAAAGAACAUUGAAGGUAUCCCUCCUGGAAAACAAUGCUAUUUUCUUAUGGUCCACAAGGAAAAGAAAGAAGGAAUUACAAGCAGUUCACAUCCCCAUCUCAAGCCAUAAAUCAAAAAGAUUAUUGAUCUCCCAGCACAUUCACUGAUAAAAGGAAAUACCAGCAACUCCAUGCAUCUGAGCAUACAACUUAUAUGGACUUCUAGCAAGUGAUCCCCUGGACUUAAAAACAUGUCUGAAUCCUGGCUGGGACAGUUUGGCUUUAAGUAGUACAUCAAAUUCAGAUCUUUUCAGGAAGGAAACUUCUGCCAUCAGUUGGCCAAUGCUGUUCCAUCAGUGAGUAUUCAGUGUCACUAACCAACAGAAUGACCAAGAAAUCAUUCCAGUCAGAAAAGGCCCAAGUACCAACGAUUGGACAGUCGUGAUUUAUAUUUGUGCCUGAUAUGACCAACAUAAGUCACACUGGUUAUGCAUGGAAAUGCAACCAUCAGCUGACAAGAACUGAAACUUAUGACUCAUGCUGUGUCAACUCUGAGCCAAAGCAGUCAGUCAACUCAAAGGGAGUAAACAUCAGUCAAACAGAUGAUUUGGCAGCCUAACUAUUUAACAACUGAUGAUGACUGGAAUUUUCACUUUUCCAUCAGUCACAUAGACUUGUCUCAGGAAGAGAAAUAACUGAAGUUUAGAGUAGUUUUCUUUUGAUUUUUCAUAAAAGUCAUUCAUCCCAAAACAUUUGCUGAAUGCCUGCUGUGUUCUAGGUACUCUAUUUAGUGCUUGGAAUAUAGAGAUGAAAGACUGAAGUAGUGUUAGAAAUGAAAAAUCAUUGUUAAAUUCUUUCUCUUCUAAUACGAUUAUCUAUGCUGCUAAGCAAUUUUCUCAGUGAUCAUCAGCCAUCAGCCAUCAAAACCCGGGACCUUCCCCACAGCUCCUCUUUUAACCCUAAUAUUUAACCAAAAAUUGCUCUGCUGCGGCAAAACCUCAAUACGUAUACACUGCCUUGGUUCCAAAGAGUAAUUGGAAUGGGCUUACUACUUUCUAGUGGAUUUAUAG